GAGAUACGAACGGCCACGAUCUGCACAAACUGUCAUACCUUGCAUUCUCAUCCUCGUCAAGCUCAAAGAAAAUCACAACAUAAAACGGAGCGUCACCGUUCGACCGAGAGAGCCACAGUCUGACGAGAGCCGCAAAUGCGACUACCGCAGCUAGCAGAGCUCGAGCGAGUCCAAACCGGAAUCCUCAAUGGAAUAUCAAACCUCGAUCUCACUCUCCUCUCCAAACAACGACCUCUCCGCCGCCGCCAACGACGACAUGGGGCUACCUAAGCUCGUCUCUCCGCCAUUCUCUGAUCAAACGGUGUCACUGACUUCGUCUUCGUAAAAGCUCCCCCCGAUUACUACGACCGGUCUAUCGAGUCCCGACUCGACAAUCUCGGUGCCGCCUCUAUUCAUCACCGCUGUAAAAGCAUCGUCUUGGUUAAUACACGGGCCCCAUCCAAAAUCAUUGACUGCAGUGAUCACAAUAAUUCAAAGUAUUACAGUGUUGUUGUUCUGCACACUGUUUGAUUCAAUGCUGAAGCGGUUAAAAACUAUUUGUUUGCACUCAACGAUGGGAAGAUAUCUAAAAAGAAAAUCAAUUGUAAGUUGUUAUCCUCUUGAUGAUCAUAAAGGCUCAUAUAACAACUUAAAUAAUCAUUCUUCAGAUGGAAAAGAGUGGUUUAUUAAUAUAGGUUGCAAGUGUUUUUCAAGUCAUUAUGAAUACAUUUUCUGUGAAUUCUCUUAUGCCUUUGUGAACAAAUAAUCUCAGCAGUCAGUAACAAUUGCAAUACAAUUCAAUAGUUAUUAUUGCGCAUAAGAGGUGGGUAACAAUUAAAAACACUCCAUUAACUAUUUGGUUAUGUAUUAGAAGUGGGUGGGUGUUGCAUUUGGUACUGGAGACUGGAUAGUUAAUUCAAUUUAAUUGAUGCAAAGUAAUAAUAUUGAUGGCUCUUGUAUCUUUGGGAAUCACCAUCUACCCAAAGCUUUUGGGUUGUUGAUCUAGUAUAUCAUAGUUUCCAACAGAGCUGUGCCAUGGCACAUCCAUUGUGCUAGUGAUACAUCUUUCUUAAUGUUUUACUAUUUUCAUUACCAUUUCCUUCUUAUGCAUAAAUAACUUGAAUAUACUCUUAUAGUUUCCUAACAAUAUGAAGAAAAAGGUAAAGAUCACUCCCAAUGGUUAAUUGACAAUAAAUAAAUAAAGAGUUUCCAUGCCUUUGUAUAUCCGUGGAAUGGAGUACCAAGAUGGGACACUGAGUCACUGACUCACCUCAUGCUUCCUCACAUGAAGAUAUCAGGAUUAUUUUUAAAAUUAACACAGUAAAUUAAAAAAUUUAACAGUGUAACACCAUUUGAAAAAAAUUUAGUAAAAUAGUAUAUUUUUACGUUGUGGUGACAACUUAACAUAGAGUCUUAUUAUCAAUUCUUUGGCCCAAUUGGCUGGUUAAUUCAGUCAAUUGUAUGAACUGGUCAAUCGUUUCACAUAAAACUAUAAUUUUAUGAAUUUUUUAUUCUAAAUAUGUUUUAUAAAUUAAAAUAUACAUUUUUUUUUCUUUCCAACCUAGAGACUCAAAAACAGAUUACAAUUAAAAUCUCAAAAAUUUAUUGUUCACACAAUAGUUGUCCUUUGUUUUUCAUUUUUCAAUGUCAAUGAUAUAGUCGGGCUUGUGAUAACGGGUAAUUUUGAGCAGUCAGUUAUGGGUCUAUCAUAACUAGAUAAAUAUUUGCCCCAAACAAAUUACGUGAAUGGCCUAGUAAAUGCAUUUAUGACCAAUAGAUAAAAUGUUCACACAAUAGUUGUCCUUUGUUUUUCGUUUUUCAAUGUCAAUAAUAUAGUCGGGCUUGUGAUAACGAGUAAUUUUGAGCAGUCAGUUGUGGGUCUAUCAUAACUAGAUAAAUAUUUGCCCCAAAUAGAUUACGUGAAUGACCUAGCAAAUGCAUUUAUGAUUAGUGGGACAUGUCUAAUUCCAAGAGAAGGUCUGGUCGUGUCAUACCAUAAUAAUGGCUCAAAAGGGCUAUAAUUUUUUAUUUGAUCAUUUGAUUGCGUUUAAAUUUUAACGGGAGUUUCUAGAGGCUAUUUUUCUGAUGGAAUCGCUACUUCGACCUUCAGAUUUUUAGAUUUUAAAAAUUUAGUCUCGACACCUUGAUUUUGGCAAUUUUAUUAUUUUUUUUAUGAACCAAUUGACCAGUUUGUUCUAAAUUUAAUUGAUGUCAUAGUUAUGAACUACAAUAUCAAUUAAAAUUUUAUCGUGAUUCCUAACUAUGAUAUUUAAUUAAUGUCGCGGUUCAAAACCGUAAUAUUUAAAAGUGUGUUAACCGAAAUUUUUUGCUUGUGUUAUUUCACCAAAAGUUUUGCUUUUUUAUUUAUUCGACAUUUCUUUUCUUUUUAUAUUAAUUACCCAAUUUAUCAAAGAUAUCAUAAUUGCAUAAAUAUUUCAAUAUCUUUUAUCAGCAUCAUUAACUUAAGUUGCCGAUAUCUCUUCUUGUUUAAAAUUUACAUAUACCUUCCAAUAUUCUUUUAUUAUCAAGAUUGUGGAAACAUUGUUUGAAGAAUCUCGAUUCCCAUUUGACUCUGUGCGCAUGUGUGUCCAAGUAAUGGCUUGUGAACAACAAUCAUAAGUCAAUUGAUUUGACUGAUAAGAAUGUUGUCCCCUUUCAUAGACGCAUAAGUAGUCAUGAUUUGCCUAUUGUCAGUAAAAAUUAGAACGCAUAGACAAGAUUUGUGGAGGACAUGGCUUGUUUGAAAAAUGGACAUGACAUGUCGGGUUUCAUUGACACGUUUUCUUAUCUGCUCUUGUAUUCAUACAAAAGUUCUAGCUUAAGUGGUUAUAUGCUUGCACUAUUAAAAACUACCAAGUAUGGUUAUAAAGAAAAUACUUGAAGAGUUAUACAGCAUCGUGAAAAGUUGAGAAAAUGAUGUUUGUCACAAGAAUUGUCAUUUGCAUGAAGACUUUGUUGGACAGGGAACAUAAAACAAACAUAAGAUACCACAGGAAAUGCUAAAAGAAUUGUCAUUGAGAGCUCUACCCAAGAAGUGUUGAAUAAUGUCUUCACGAUAGAAAUAUUUCAGUGAUGGAUGUUGUGUUAUGUUUGAAUGCCCUUUUGUUUCUUUGACUAAUAAAUCUGUAGGACUUGGACAUAGUUAAAAGUAUCUGGGAACUAGUAAGUUUGAUGAAUACUUAUUUAUGUAAGACUCUGCACCAUAGAAGAUGCAAGUUUUGCUGUAAAUUUUACUCCCCUUUUCUUUUUCAUUUUUGUUGGUUGUUUUCUCUUUUCCCCUGGUAGGCUUGCAACACAAGUGCAGUUUCAUCAACCUUUAUGUGAUUUUUAAGUGAGAAGGCAAUGCAAUGUCGUCUUCUUUCUUUCUUAUUUUUAACAUGCAGUGAGGCUUGCCCCUAAGGAGACACCAGCUAAGCUGAUGGGAUGUGAGCAUAAUGCAGUGACGUGUUAGCUAGAAAACAGACAUUCCGAUAAAUACUCAUCUUUUUUCUAUGAAAUCAAGAGAUGGAAACUGUUCUUUCACUAUUUACCAAUCUCAAAUUGCAACUUUUAGCAUUCAAUGCCUCUUCAAGCUCCGUCCUGGCUUGCAAAUAUGUUGGUAAUCUUUGGAAGGAAGAUUAAUUGCUAAGCUGUCAGCUUAAUGCAAUUCCCAGAGUUAGAGAAUUUAGGAUCAAUCUCUAUCAAGAUUUGUUGGUUUUGAUCCAAAUUCUUCACUUGAAUGCCUUUUCACUUCCUGUGGUGUAAAGCUUACCAAGGUCUUCUUGAUGUGCACAUGUACAUGUUUCCCAGACAGUACACGCUUCAGUGUUCUGUCUUGCUUGAUGCAGCAUGAACACUUAGACAGUUUGUCCCAAGGAUUAAUGGCUGAGGUAGAUACUUAUCCCUGUUUUGCGUAUUGGUGGUGUGGCUGUUUUGUAUACACGUAUGGAAAUUUUGGCAAAAGAAAAGUAAACUGUACUCUUGAUUUGUUAUUCGUAUCAUGAAUGCUAACAUGGAACUAUUUUUUCAUUAAUCAAAUCGUCAACUGCUAUGCCAGCUAUUGAGUAUUCAAGUGGUCCAUGGUUCUAAACAUCAUACUGUCAAAUUGGGAUGUAACGUAGUGGUCCACUGUAAUGGUGGUCAAGAUCAAUGAUUCUCUGCCAGUCGACUGACACUAAAAUAAACUUUGGGUUGACACUUAACGUUGAGUUGCUCGCAUAGAUAUAGGCCUGAGCUAGCUGGGAAUAUUUACUGCAAACAGCUGUAGAGAUGCAUAUCUGUCUCUGAUUUUGCACAUACAUUUGUAUAGGGAACAUCGUAAAAUGUGACAGGGAAAGAUGAAGUCUUUCAAAAAUAUUUGAGAUUAGCAGGGGAUGAUCCUGAAAGAUUGACACACAAGCGUAUGGAUAUAUAUACAUGAGGCGAGAGAAUUAUGCCUAUCAUUGUAGUCUUACUAAUUGGAUUGAAGAGUUUUGAUCUCAGGUGAUUUUGGAUGAAGCAAUUGUAAGACUCAUUCCUGAUUUCUUCUUGUUGGAUGGUGGAGAGGUUUCUCUGAAGCUGGCGAUAAGGACCUUGGAAUUUAUUCAGGACAUGAAGAACAGACAUUUACAUCAAGUUUUUACAGAGAUUUAUUCUUUUCUUUUUAGGACAGUAAUGACAUUUGAAGUAGAAACUUUUGCUGUGCACUUCAUUGGUUCUUGGGAUUGAAAUUCUGUUGGAAGAUCUUUAGAUCUGUAGCGAAUAUAUUGAUUUUUGUUUCUAGCUAAUGUUAUGGCAGGGAAAAGUCUACUUUUGCCAA